rnacentral:misc_RNA from 1 species
AAGCAAUUCCCGAUUCCUUCCUUUUAUGAUUCAAAUGGCUCGUCACCUCCUGGAUCAAGGGAGCCCAUCUCAACGUUCUACAAUGGCUAAAUCUGUUUCGACCUAUUUGUCCUCGUCCACUGUAGAUUCGCGACCAUUCUCUCCAGGGUUGCAACCUUCAGUUGCAACUGAGGAAACUGUUCAGUUUAUGAUGGUAAACUCACUUCUUUCAGAGUCUUACGAAUCCUGG